rnacentral:misc_RNA from 1 species
UUAUAAACUAUUUUUUUCCCGAACAUUAUAAACUAUUUUGAUGUCCGUGUUUCAAAUACUAAGUAUAUAUAUACAUCUUUGAAACAUUUAAAAUUACACGCACAACCACAGAAGAAUCCUACAGAUCAUCCCCUGAAAAAUGGAUCACUUAAGAAUGGGUUGGAGAAAGUUCCUCCUCCAUUGGGGAAAAGAGUGAGGAGACAGACAAGGCCAAGAACAAAGCCCCAAGCAUAUCUGUCAUUUCCCAAAGGAGUUAUCUCAUCUUUAGCAGGUAGUUCCUCCCCACCUCGAAAGAAAGUUGCGAAUAAUCCCCACGCCAGACACAGCACACUUCCACUAAGACCACCAAUGCCCAGCAAGAGGGAUGUUGCAAAAGAAAGCAAUGUGGCUUUGCUUCUUCCAAACAUAGCUUGUGCUAUGCGACCUCCUUCAAGUCUUCCACAGGGUAACAAAUUCAAUGAAGUCACCACCAUUCCUAAAAGUCCAGCAAAAGCAAGUGGAUCAACGGGAACCCCCACACCCUCCACUGCGUAAGGCAAUACAUUUCCAAGGUCAUCUGUAUAAGGUCCAAUAACAUAUUGGAUGAAAGAAAGUAAGGGAUUGUUGUAGAAGAAUUGUGGCCUUAUAUACUCAAGAAAUGCCUUCAAAACCACAAAAGUGCAAGCAUUAGGACCCCAUUUACGGAAAACCCAAACAAUUUGGUGGAGAUGGACGCAGGCAAGACCGAUCGCAACGCCUUCCUGGCUCGUUUAGAUACCUUCUUGAAAACAUUUUGAAUGAACCUAACCAACAGAUCCAAACUCCUAUCUUCAUCUUCAUCCUCAUCUUCAUCACCUUUUGAUGACCGCUUCCGUUUUUCUCCAGCUUGGGAUGUUCGCCUUUGUUUUUUGGCUGGUGUAGCUGAUGCUUCUCCAGGGCUUGCAUUUUUUCCUGUUAAGACCUUACGUUUCUUGCCCUUCUGUUCCUUAUCAGCAAGCAAAACAUCAGUAGUAGCAUGUGGUGAUUCCAAGAACUCCAAUAAUUUUACAGUGAGUUCUUCCUUUUUCACAACAGCCUUAUUUAUUGGAACAUUGAGCACAUCACAAAAAUCCACCAACUUUUCUUUAACACACUUGUCAAGCUUCUCCCUUACUUUUGCUUUUUGUUUUUCCUCAUUCUCAGCCCAAACAUAUCCCGAAAACUGGCCUAUGUUUUUCUUCAAAUUGUGUGCCUGAAACCAACAAAAUAGUAAUUUUAUGAUGUGAAAAGAAAAUAAUAAACAACGAAUCCAGGGGCAAAAAUCAAUUACAGCUAAAGAUAAAGAAUGUUAUUAUUUUCACGGUAAUAAUUUGCAUUCAUGCACUUGUAUGCUGUGAGUCCAUACUCCACAUAGCAGAAAUGCAGAGACAGACUCAUUUUGCAUGGAAUAAACCCCUCCAAAACAAAAUUAAUCGAGCACCUUUGCUUUCUUUCCAAAAAGUAUUGUGUGAAGCAUCUGCAGAUUGUCAUCAGGUUUUCUCUUGGACAACUUGAAAGCCACUGAAACAGUUCACAAUAUCAGACAAAAAAUAGACCAACCUGCUGUAAAAAGCAAAGUUGAAUAAAAAGUAAAUAACAUCAUCCAAACUAAUUCUUCUUUUGGUCAACAAUAGGAAAUUCUCUGCUCUUUUAUAUGCAUGAAAAUCUGCUCCAUGUGCAAGUAUCAUUUGAAAUUCAAACUAGCAUCAAGGGCCAGAUUUUGGGAAUAUAAACUGAGUAGUACCAUUGGGAAUAUCCUUUAGCUGUGUCCCACGUCCCUUCUCAAUGGACACAGGCUUGCUCCCUGAUCUACCAGGCUCAGGUGCAGAGUACCUUUCUACAGUUUUUCUCUCCCUGGUAGGCCGCUCACUGCUGGGAGUCACAGGCUCUUUCUCUUUCUUCUGUCUUGAUUCUUUAGUCUGAUUCUGCUCUUUCUUCCCAGAGCGCCUUGGGCCACCUCGCUUAGCUUUCCUUGUCCGUUCUUCUUCCUGCUCCUGCUCUUCCUCCUGUGCAUCCUCUUCCUUCUCCUCUUUAGGUACCUCCACUUUCACCUCAUCUUUUUCUAUCUCUUCAACUUGUUUAUCUCCCGACUCUUCAUUUUCAUUUCCCUGAGCUUCCGAAUUCCCUUCGUCCUCUCUCAUCUGAGUAUCCUUGGGUUGCUCCCUUUCUUCUUCGGGUUUGGACUCCUCUUUCUCCUGGACAGGAGCUUCCGCCUCAGAUUUCUUCUCCUCUAGGGUUUCGCUGGCCAUGGGAGCUAAGAAAUCGAACAGAGAAAAAGAGUAGAAAACAGAGUAAUUAAACCCUAGAAAUAGAGGAGGGUGAUUUUGAGUGCAAACCGAGUGUGAUUUUAGGGAUUGAUGAAGGGGAAAGGAAGCCAAUAGGGCGGGGAAAUGGGAAAGGCGGGGUUCAAAAAAAUUUGAUGCCAAAAUUGAAAGCGGGAUUGGAUGUUUUUUCGGGGCAAUGAAAAUUUUUUGGAGGCAAAUCUUAUGACUCUCGCCCUCUUUGCUUACUCACCAUGUCUUGUUUUUAGUGCACUGCAAGAUUUGGCAUUAAUUUCGUUCCUUGAUCUUAUCCUCGACUUAUAUUGCAGUAGAGAGAUGAAUGAGCUCAAUCAAAUUUCGUGGUCUCGAAUUAUUAUGACAUUGGAUGAUGUGCUCUA